AAUGGCUAAGGAUAGCCCCAGCUAAGAACGUGCAGUGUGAAAAGCCCUCAAAUUUGAUAGGAUGUUAGGCGUCAUCAGCGGUUUAUUUUUUUUAAUUUUGGCUUCAGAGAUUACACAUGGCUAAUUUACGUUACAGAGAGUAGCUACAGUAACUCCUGGUUUUGCCUUACCGUCUUUCUCAGAUAGUAAUCUAACAUAAACCUUACUCAAACAACCCUAACCCAAUGCUAAUAAUAGUUGUUUCACAUUCUUGUUGGGUGUUACAUGAGCAUGUUGUGGGUAGUGGAAUACCAUUAAACAAGACCAAAUAGAGGAUUAUAGUGGUAGAGAACAUUUAUAUUGGUAACACAAUAACAACAUUACCAUUUGUAAUUAACAGUGUUCAGUUCAGUCCAAACACACACACGUCUAUACAAGGUAGGUGUUUCACAGAAGUGCUUGAAUCCUCUUUGAUACUGUAUGUUCCCUGUGCUCUUGUCUUCGUCAUUUUUCUCUCUCAGUUACGUGUGCCUCUGCGUCUUCUACAUUUGAAAGGGAAACAAUGGGGGGGGGGUUAGAUAGAGAGAUAAUGUGAUGACUAACUUUAUAUAUUGUAGUAGCAAUGCUCCAAAAUGUAUUGGUUGUUUUUCUGUUUCCCCAGAUGCUCAACCUUGGACGACACUACAGAUAUCUUCUAGGCCUAAUCUAAUCUAACCUAGCCUAGCCUGAGGGGCCUAUCGUAAUCUUGCAAGAUCAAAGAUUGAGCUGGACACCCCUGCACUGUACACAUUUCCCUUUAAGUUACACAUCACAAAAUCAACAUUCUGUUGAUUCCUGUCUAUUCCAGACUAGAUCUGACCUUGACUCAUACAUACUGUGCCCAUGUUACAGGAUUAAGAUGCUGUGUCCAUGUUACAGGAUUAAUACACAUCUCUCACACCCAUAUUCAUAGCUUUCUCCUUAAGAGAAAAACCAGGGCAAAUUUUACGGCCAGUCCAGUAAAAUAAAAUACAGUAAUCAUGUGUCA